UAAAUAUAGAUAAUUAAAUGGAAGAUUGAAAUCUUUCUUUAUAAAAAAAGAAAUAAGAUAUCAGCAUUUAUUAUUGCUUCACUGUUUUUAUUUUCAUACACAUUGAGCAUUGUACUACCAGUGACUUUUUUUAAUUUUUUUUACCAAUGGUUUUUGAAAUUGAUUUUUUGAAAUUAUUUGAUAAUGCUUAUCAAUUAAAAAAAUAAUUUUGAAUGUGUUUUAAAACUUCAUUAUUGCAAAUUACUUGGUUCUUCACAUUUUGAGAAUUGAGAAACAAUUUCUUGGAUUGGCAAUUUCUUGAAUUGAGAAACAAUUUCUUGGAUUGGCAAAUAAAAAUAUGUAGCUGUGUGUAUUUGUAACUAAUUAAAGGUCGAAUAUCUGUGUUCUAUCGGCGGUAAACAUCCAAAGUAAAUACGACGUGUGUUGGGAGUCGUCUUUUCAAAAAACUUAAGCGUUUUAUGUAAUUUUAACGGAUCUUCAAGUAAAUGAUAGCUACUAGAAUGGGGAAGAUUAAGUUGCGAAGUUAUCAUUUUGUAUUAUAGUCAACAGUAAGAAUUCCAAGGAUAAAGAUAUUUACCCGAUCGUUUAAAGGUGGUUUCAGAGAGCAACAGAUCAGGGAGAUGGGACAGAGAGCAACAGAUCAGGGAGAUGGGACAGAGAGCAACAGAUCAGGGAGAUGGGACAGAGAGCAACAGAUCAGGGAGAUGGGACAGAGAGCAACAGAUCAGGGAGGUGGGCGAAUAAAUAGACAGAAGAAUAGCAAGCUUAUAAAUAAUUAAUUGCAGUUAAUAAAAAUAAUAUUUUGUUAUUAUUUUCUUUUGCAAAUUUAUAAAAGCUUAUUUAUCUUGGUUUUGUUAAUAGUUCUAAUUUAUCUUAAUUAUCAUUAUUAAUUAUCUACUAAAUUGUCACGUUUUUAAAUACUAGCGUUUUAAAAUAUUGUUUUUAAUUAAAGCUGCUAAUA
rnacentral:lncRNA from 1 species